rnacentral:rRNA from 1 species
UACAGAGGGUGCGAGCGUUAAUCGGAAUUACUGGGCGUAAAGCGCGCGUAGGCGGCUUUGCAAGUCGGGUGUGAAAUCCCCAGGCUUAACCUGGGAACUGCAUUCGAGACUGCAUUGCUAGAGUAUGGGAGAGGGAAGUGGAAUUUCCGGUGUAGCGGUGAAAUGCGUAGAUAUCGGAAGGAACGCCGGUGGCGAAAGCGGUCUGCUGGACGCCUUCUGACGCUGAGGCGCGAAAGCCAGGGGAGCAAACGGG